rnacentral:rRNA from 1 species
GAUGAACGCUAGCGGCAGGCUUAAUACAUGCAAGUCGUGGGGCAGCAUGGGGUAGCAAUACUCUGAUGGCGACCGGCAAACGGGUGCGGAACACGUACGCAACCUUCCCAAAACUGGUGAAUAGCCCUCCGAAAGGAGGAUUAAUACACCGUAACAUAACGGAGUGGCAUCACUUUGUUAUUAUAGCUCCGGCGGUUUUGGAUGGGCGUGCGCCUGAUUAGGUAGUUGGCGGGGUAACGGCCCACCAAGCCUACGAUCAGUAACUGGUGUGAGAGCACGACCAGUCACACGGGCACUGAGACACGGGCCCGACUCCUACGGGAGGCAGCAGUAAGGAAUAUUGGUCAAUGGACGCAAGUCUGAACCAGCCAUGCCGCGUGAAGGAUGAAGGUCCUCUGGAUUGUAAACUUCUUUUAUCUGGGACGAAAAAAGGGCUUUCUAGCUCACUUGACGGUACCAGAGGAAUAAGCACCGGCUAACUCCGUGCCAGCAGCCGCGGUAAAGUG